rnacentral:rRNA from 1 species
ACUCCUACGGGAGGCAGCAGUGGGGAAUAUUGCACAAUGGGGGAAACCCUGAUGCAGCCAUGCCGCGUGUGUGAAGAAGGCCUUCGGGUUGUAAAGCACUUUCAGUAGGGAGGAAGGUAGUGUAGUUAACACCUGCAUUAUUUGACGUUACCUACAGAAGAAGCACCGGCUAACUCCGUGCCAGCAGCCGCGGUAAUACGGAGGGUGCGAGCGUUAAUCGGAAUUACUGGGCGUAAAGCGCAUGCAGGCGGCCUGUUAAGUCAGAUGUGAAAGCCCGGGGCUUAACCUCGGAAUUGCAUUUGAAACUGGCAGGCUAGAGUCUUGUAGAGGGGUUAGAAUUUCAGGUGUAGCGGUGAAAUGCGUAGAGAUCUGAAGGAAUACCAGUGGCGAAGGCGGCCCCCUGGACAAAGACUGACGCUCAGAUGCGAAAGCGUGGGAGCAAACAGGAUUAGAUACCCCUGGUAGCACAGAG